rnacentral:rRNA from 1 species
ACCCGCACAAGCGGUGAUGAUGUUAGUUUAAUUCGAUGCAACGCGAAAAACCUUACCCACCUUUUGACAUGUACGGAACCCUUUAGAGAUAGAGGGGUGCUCGAAAGAGAGCCGUAACACAGGUGCUGCAUGGCUGUCGUCAGCUCGUGUCGUGAGAUGUUGGGUUAAGUCCCGCAACGAGCGCAACCCUUGUCAUUAGUUGCUACAUUCAGUUUGGGCACUCUAAUGAGACUGCCGGUGACAAGCCGGAGGAAGUGGGGAUGACGUCAAGUCCUCAUGGCCUUUAUGUCUAGGGCUACACACGUACUACAAUGGCCGGUACAAAGGGCAGCCACUCAGCGAUGAGGCGCUAAUCCCAUAAAGCCGGUCUCAGUCCGGAUCGCAGUCUGCAACUCGACUGCGUGAAGUUGGAAUCGCUAGUAAUCGUAGAUCAGCAUGCUACGGUGAAUACGUUCCCGGGCCUU